rnacentral:rRNA from 1 species
GACAGAGGGUGCAAACGUUGUUCGGAUUUACUGGGCGUAAAGCGCGUGUAGGCGGCUUUGCAAGUCGGAUGUGAAAGCCCACGGCUCAACCGUGGAAGUGCAUCCGAAACUGCAUGGCUUGAGUCUCGGAGAGAAAGGUGGAAUGCUUGGUGUAGAGGUGAAAUUCGUAGAUAUCAAGCAGAACACCUGCGGCGAAGGCGGCCUUCUGGACGAUGACUGACGCUGAGACGCGAAAGCGUGGGGAGCAAACAGG